rnacentral:sRNA from 1 species
AGACGGAUUCCAUUUCUAGAUAUGAAACCAGUUCUACAUCAGCUGGUGAUCGAUAUGAUUCCUUGCUGGGUCGCUCUGGAUCAUACAGUUACUUAGAAGAAAGAAAACCUUACAGCAGCAGGCUAGAAAAGGAUGACUCAACUGACUUUAAAAAGGUACUUGGGUUAUUUAGUUAUAUUUAAUAAAAAAUGUUAUCUUUUAUGUUGAGAUACUCAUAUUCAAAUAUUUUAAAAACUCAUAAUGAAAUGAGUAUUUUGAAAUAACUUAUUUUCAUUUUCAGUUUUCGGCAACUGAUGGUUAAGUAGAAUGUAAAUAGCUGUUUGUUUAUUAAAGGGAAGAGAAAAUCAUCCAAGAUGAUUUUACAUUUAAGUAUCUCAAGUCAUUGCUAUGAUUGAGCUGGAAAGGAGCAUUCAGUAAAUGGGUGCACACAAAUGUAUACACACUUUGUUUCUUUGUUACUAGGAAGCAGCCAAACAGAGAAGAUGGCUUUUCCUAAGAGAAUAUAUUGAUAGUUUUUCAUAGGUAACUGAAAAACUUGGGGCAGCUCAGGUGCUAGUAAGGAUUGAAGUAAUUAAUAAAUAAAUCCCAGAAACUGUAUCUUCUUAUUUUGUGCUUAUAGUAAACAUAGUCUGUUGGAGAAGGAGAAAGCUUAUGGCAUUUGUACAUGUCCCCAGUUAUCUGGCAGCUAUUUGAAUUAUAUACUUUUUUAAAAGCCAAGUUAGGGGAACGGGUGAGGGAGAGAAUCAUUUUACAUUAUGAGUAAGAUUCAUCAUUUAUUCAAUAAAGAACUGAACUAUGCUAAGUAGAGAGAUUCUAAUCAUGGGCAAAUGGAGAUGAAGAUACUAUCUUGCUCUCAUGGGCAUCUUCCAUGUAGUGGGGGAGAGAGACCUUAUUACACAGUCAUACUAAUGACUGUAUAAUAAAUAAUGGAGACAGUUAACCUGAAGUAGAAAAGCAAUUUUAUAAAAGUAUAUAACAAAAGAAAGUAGAUUGAUUUCCUUGGCUGGGCGCAGUGGCUCACGCCUGUAAUCCCAGCACUUUGGGAGGCUAUGGCAGGCCAUCACCUGAGGUCGGGAGUUCGAGACCAGCCUGACCAACAUGAAGAAACCCCGUCUCUACCAAAAAUACAAAAUUACCCCAGGUGUGGUGGCCUAUAAUCCCAGCUACUCAGGAAGCUGAGGCAGGAGAAUCACUUGAACCCAGGAGGCAGAGGUUGCAGUGAGCUGAGAUCACGCCAUUGCACUCCAGCCUGGGCAACAAGAGGAAAACUCUGUCUCAAAAAAAAAGAAAGUGGAUUGAUUUCCAAAGGAAGUGUGGUUUCAGCCAAAAAUGGAAGGAUUACUAAUAGUUAACGGGCAAAAAUGGGUGAGAAAAUUAUUCCAAAUAGAGUGGAACUACAAGCACAUAGACUUGGUGGGGGGAGAAUACAUGAUGCAUUGGAAUAAUUAAAUUUUAAUUAUGGCUAGUAGAGUGGAAGAAAUAUUCAUUUGAGGCAGCAGUUGUGUAGGCUGGGACCAGAUCAUGCAGUGCCUUAUAGGCCAUUCUAAGAUUUUUCGUAUGCUAAGAACAUUGGGAGGCCAUUCAAGAGUUUUUAAUUUGUGGGUGGAAAUGGAAUGGUUGGCCUAUGAAAAUUAUGAGAUUUUCAUUUUGAAAAGUUAAUUUUAGCUCCUAUAUAUAAAACAGAUGAGAGGGUGAUCAGGGAAUUAGAAUAGUUUAGAUAAGAGAUGAUCAUAGCCAGAAUUAUGGUGGAAGUAGUAAAGCCAGGGGUAAGGAAGAAGCAGUGUUAAGGAAGAUGAAAAGCAUUAGAAAAGAGGAAGGUCUUUAUCCUGGAUUUGAAAUAUUUCAGGAAAUACAUCAUUUGCCUUUUAACUUUACUAUAAGCAAUGUAGAAGUAUAAUGAUAAAUACAGCUGGUACUCCAUCUCAUUUUUGGGAAUUCAAGAGAGAGUGAUGGGCAGAAAAUCUCACGGACUCCAGAUAAAGUUCACAGUGACUCCUUAGCCCUAGCUGCAGUUGCUGUGCAGCUUUAUGAACAAAUUCUAGCUGAAAAUGAAAAGCUGAAGGCACAGCUACAUGAUACAAAUAUGGAACUAACGGAUCUUAAAUUACAGUUGGAAAAGGCCACACAGAGACAAGAAAGAUUUGCUGAUAGGUCACUGUUGGAAAUGGAAAAAAGGGUGACCGGCAAGAGUCAGUAUCCUCUGGGCGGUAUGACCUAACCAGUUUUACAGCUCAUCAAUUACUGCUGCUUGCUUUUUGCAUAACACCCCAAAAUGCUUAUCAUUUAAGGGAGAAUAAAACAGUACACUGCAAUGAUGCGUUGUGUGUUGGCUUUGCCUGUCACUCUUUGAAACAAGGUUAAAAUAAACGCUGCAGUUGCUUCUCUGUUACAUUCACCGCAUUAAUGCUACACAUAAUGUCAACCUAAAUACAAAGCUAUAAAGUCAGUUGGAUAAAUAAUGGCUAGUACACAUUGUGGGUGGAGGAAAUGAGCUUCUCUUACAUUCCCCUGAAAUUGCAAAGUACACAUAUUUUAGGCAUGUUUGCUUCUUGCUUUUCUGCUUCUGUCACUGUAAUAUGAUUGCAUCUUUGUGUGAGUUUUGUUUUUCUUUUCUGUACAGUCUUCAGUCUUGAGUAUUGAUUCACUCUAAGUUUUACAUGAACUCAAAAAGUAGUUUGAACAUGUUUUAUAGCAUCUUCCCAGAAAGUCAAAGCUUUAAAUUAAGAGCUUGUACUCUAAGGAUAAAGAUCUUCAUAUUUAUUUUUGUCAAAUUUUGGAAAGCUUUUUACAUAUCACUGGCAUCACAUCUUUUCUACACUGCUCCUGAUUGGACCUUUAAUUCUGAAGUAUCACUAUUUCACAAUAUAGAAGAAGACUUAAGAAUAUAAUAAUUAUAUAACUAACAUUGGUACCUUAAAUCGAUCUAGGAACGAAGAGCUCUAGAAAGAAGAAUAUCUGAAAUGGAAGAAGAGCUCAAAAUGUUACCAGACCUAAAAGCAGACAACCAGAGGCUAAAGGAUGAAAAUGGGGCCUUGAUCAGAGUUAUAAGCAAACUUUCCAAAU